rnacentral:rRNA from 1 species
UACGUAGGGUGCGAGCGUUAAUCGGAAUUACUGGGCGUAAAGCGUGCGCAGGCGGUUUUGUAAGCCAGAUGUGAAAGCCCCGGGCUUAACCUGGGAAUGGCAUUUGGGACUGCAAGGCUGGAGUGUGGCAGAGGAGACUGGAAUUCCUGGUGUAGCAGUGAAAUGCGUAGAUAUCAGGAAGAACACCCGUGGCUAAGGCGGCUCUCUAGUACGGUACUGACGCUGAGACGCGAAAGCGUGGGGAGCGAACAGG